AAUGUAUAUGAAUGUGUGUAUAUUAAAGGAGUAAAGAGAAAAGGAAGAAUGCUAAUAUGCUGAGGGUGUCUGGAUGCAGUGAUAAACGUUCCCGGGCGCCCCCAUAAGGCGUAGAGUUACCGUGGAGCGUGGAAAUGAUCUACAAAUAACGUUACGAUAUAACGAUUUUCUUCUGCUGAUGCUUGUCCUUCAUCAUCGCCAAAUUCUCUAUUAAUGUCAAGAGGCAUUCAAUGGCAAGUACGUCAUCUUCUGGAUAUUCGGAGGUUUCUGCAUCAUUAGUAUUCUUUUCGUAGUAUUGUUGUUGCCCGAAACGCAAGAUCUCCAGCAAAUUCAGGACGAACUGAUUGUGAGUGGAGUGACUUCGAUUAUAAACGUCAAGAACGGGACGAAGAAGUGAGGAAGGAACACUUUCGUUCGAUUAUCCUGAUGACGAACGGUGUAUGCUGAACAUCUGAUAAAUUUGCAGGAUACUUUGAAGAGAUUAGAUAUUUAUAAAAGAUAUACGUAGGAUAUAGUUUUUAUAACAUAUCUAGAAAUUUGAUAUCAUUGAGCGGAGAAGAAUCAAGUAGAGUAUCUGAAAUACGGAUAAUAUAUAAUAUUUUACUGACAAAUUUAUAAAAAUAUAUAAUAUGGGCAAAGAGAAAAUAUUUUUGAGCUUGGACCACCGUUCAGCCUCUUGUUGCUUGGAUCACAAAGAAA